GCCUUCGUGGUGUAGUAGUCAGCACGCCCCACGAGUAACCGAGAGGUCCGUGGUUCGAUUCCCGUCGAAGGCG
rnacentral:tRNA from 1 species